rnacentral:rRNA from 1 species
AGAGGGUGCAAACGUUGUUCGGAAUUACUGGGCGUAAAGCGCGUGUAGGCGGCUAAGUAAGUCGGGCGUGAAAUCCCACGGCUCAACCGUGGAAGUGCACUCGAAACUGCAUAGCUAGAGUCCUGGAGAGGAAGGUGGAAUGCUUGGUGUAGAGGUGAAAUUCGUAGAUAUCAAGCGGAACACCGGUGGCGAAGGCGGCCUUCUGGACAGUGACGUGACGCUGAGACGGCGAAAGCGUGGGGAGCAAACAGGG